AAUUGUUUUAAUAUUCUUUCUAUCUGUAAACAAGAAGAAGUAAUAAAAUAAUGCAACUGUUCAAAAAUUUAACCAAAUUACUAGGAGGUUUUUUUGUUUCUGCACUAAAUCGGAUUUACUGCGUGGGAUGUUGAAGUGUGUAGUGAGAGUGUCUAUAAGUGUCACGUGUUGUGGCACCAAGACUACAUUCCGGGAAACUCCUUGCAGAGAUCCGGUCACGCCAGAUUUCCUAUUAUGGAAAGGAUUGCAAUCAAAAUGCUAAACAUAUGUAUUUUAAUAAUAAAAUAAUGAAACCUUGCAUUUUUUCAUAAUAAAACACUAUCCAUAUUUUUA